AGCUCUGUGGUGAAAUUCAUGGUGAGUUGCAAGCUCAUCGAUGUGCGUUAGUGCGUGCCGGAGCUU
rnacentral:tRNA from 1 species